UACGUAGGGCGCAAGCGUUAUCCGGAAUUAUUGGGCGUAAAGAGCUCGUAGGCGGUUUGUCGCGUCUGCCGUGAAAGUCCGGGGCUCAACUCCGGAUCUGCGGUGGGUACGGGCAGACUAGAGUGAUGUAGGGGAGACUGGAGUUCCUGGUGUAGCGGUGAAAUGCGCAGAUAUCAGGAGGAACACCGAUGGCGAAGGCAGGUCUCUGGGCCACUACUGACGCUGAGAAGCGAAAGCAUGGGGAGCGAACAGG
rnacentral:rRNA from 1 species